GAGCACGGUGAAGCAGCCUGUGAACAGUGUCCUGGCCCACAAUAAGAUUGUUCCAUCUGUGAAGUGACCCCGGUUACUCAUGGUCAGGACAGUGCCAAGGGUCCAGGGCUUGGCAGCAGCAUCUGCCCCGAGCCCAGUGAGCCAUGGACAUUGGUCACUACAAACAGAAGCAACAGAAAUGUGAGAAGUGUUCAUGCCAGUGAAGGUUGGUUGGCUUUGAUUUUACUUAGAGAAAACAGAUCAAAUUUGUCUUAGGGUUCACAAAGGUGCUGAAUGCUGAAGUCCCCAGCAGCCGUGACUUGAUCCAUCUUCAUGGAACUAGCUUUGCCUGUUGAUGUUCAUUUUUCUUUGGAUUUUAUCUUGUUGUAUUAUUCCUUAUCAUCAAUAUAAGGAUUUGUACAUGGAUUCAGAAUUAUUGUGCUUUCAAAUUGUAUGCAAAUGGUCUGACUGAAGUAAUAAGUUGAUAUUUUGGCUUGGUUUCACUGGCUUCUGUAACAAAGAAUGCAAAUCACAAACCACUCAGAGGUACUGGAUCCUCUUCUGUGCACCAGGAUUAUUCCAUGCAGUUUGGCAGUUGUCUGAGUCCUCAGCUCCUAAUGGAGGAGAAGGGGUGAUAUAUAUAUAUAUAUAUAUAGGGACAAGGCAAAAGCCUUAAUUCCUGGUCAGACAGGACUGAAAGGUAACUUUUCUACUGAAAGAACCUCUCCCAUGUAUUGUGUCAGGACUGUCACAGCCUCCAGCUGCCAGAACAACCUCUAGGGCAGUGGGAUAACUAAAUGUAGGGAGACAGCAGUAGUAGGCAAUGAAUCUGCAGAAUUGGAGAUAAAGUACAUGCAGUCCAACUGCAGAGCCAAUUAUAAUCAAUGUAGGUUGUUUUAGGGACUUUGCAGAAACCAGGAUUUGACUUCACAAGAUGAAAUGAGAAAUUUAACAGGGAUGAAGAAAGGCGUUACCACGCUAUUCAUAACACUCCUUGUUAGAGGCUGCCAGCUUCUUCCUGCAUAAACCGAAGGGAGCUACAGGUGAUGGAAAAAUAAAUUGGUCCCUGUGGGCACAGUGAUUUUGACUGUACAUGUGUUUUAGAGAUGAGGUCGAUGUGCUAUGAACUGCAGGUGAAAUGGCAACAGUGGUACCUGGAAACCUGGUGUUUGUCAGAGAUGCUGGAGAGCUGCUCAGAGAUGGUCAGGGAAUAAUUUUAUUCAGGCUGUGUUUAAAAUAAACCUUUCCAAGAACACAGAAACUGCUUGUUGGAAGAGUAAAUGGCAGAUUGUGUGAAUCUUUAUGAAUUUCCUGUCCUCUUCUCACAGUUGUACCAUGCAAUGGGGGGUGUGUCACAGCUGCAGAACUUUUUCGUACAAUGAAAAAUUGGAUGUAGUUUCCUACAGGUCAAGCCAGCUCCUCAUUGCUGGCACAUCUUGUGUGCACUUUUGAAGUAUUGGGUUGUAUAUGGUCCUGAAAAAUUUCUGCAGCUUUUAUCCCCUCUCCCCAUACAGCUUUGGCUCCAGUCUGAAGCGCAGUUAUGUGACCAGGGAGAAAAUGUUCUCUAAAUGAAUCUAUCAUAAACAUAGUGCCUGUCCUGUAAUGGUUGGGAUUGGAGAGUAACAACCUAAUAAACCGAAGUCUUUUAUUUCUUUCCUUUUUAUAGAUCACGUGCUGAAGGCUUCUGAGAAGUGCCUCUGUCUCCCAGGCCUGAGCUCAAAGCAGAGAUCACCUCACAGCUUGCUUUAGUCAGGGCUGAUGAAGGAGAAAUGCUGUGGGGUUUGCCUGGACACUCAGAGCCAGGGUAGGUUUUGAUUCCUAAUUGGGCAGAUCCAAAGUUUUCCAUAGCUUUUCUUAUCUAGAACAGGACUAUCUAGACCAGGAUGCUUCUGACCACCUUUCCAAGGCUCUCUGGUUUCAUUAAUUGGGCUCCACACCCCUAAAUUAAUGACUGUGCAAUGUGUUGCUGUUCCAUUAAUGAGAUCCAUGUUGUGGUGGAUUUUGGCAGUACCAGACUCUUUUUCCACUGCCUUUGAACUCCUGCCUGGCUUUCCCCAGUCUUUACAGAACUAUCCACUUAUCCUGCUGGCCAACAGCUUAUCUGGUCCCUAAGCAGCUGAUCCAUUCCCUUCAAGCUGCACAGCUCUCCCAUCUCUCUUUCUCCUUCUCUUUCCCUCCUCACUAUCUUUGCUCUGCAGAAAUUGCUCCCAGAAUGGAGCAGUGGAUUUUGCAGAGGACAGGUCACAUAGGACAAAUCUGCCAAGCUGUUGCUUCUCCCUCAGGUUGCUUCUUUGACUGUCACUUUUCUCCCCAGGCUCUGUAGCCCAAAUUUUCCCUGGCCUCUGUAGACUGAGGACAGAGAGCAGGAAAAUGUUGCCUCAGAUUAAUUCUUGUCUCCAGCCCCUUUCUCUAUAUCUCCACGUUUUCUCUGUCUGGAUUAUUGCCUUUGGGGUCAAAGGAGGUUUUUUUUUUGAUACUGUGCAGAUAAUAUGAUGGUGGAAUGCAACAUUUGGUAAGUAGAUCACCUUAAUCUUGUUUUCACAGCUCCUUUUCUUACGCUUACAUUUUGAAUGUGAGGUUUGGAUUUGCACAUUUUCCUUCCUCUGCAGCACAGCCACCCUGGUACAAAGCAUUGGCUUUAUUGUGUGUAACAGGUCCUAGAAAGUUGCUUAGAUCUUUACUUCUUGGCACAAAUAAUGUGGCAGGAGCAUUUUCAAUGCUGCCCUCAUAAUGAAGAGAGAACUUUUCGCUGGAACUCUACAAUCAUUUUUAGAAAAGAAUUUGGAGCAAUAAGAGUGAGUGACAGUUCUCCCUUCAAACCUUUUCUAUUAACUGACAGAAAGGAUGCCAUUUGCUUCCUUUGCAAAUAAAAUGAACAAAAUAAUGUGAGUGAUACCUGAAAAUACCACAUAAAAAGUGCUAGGAAAAGGCAGCCCUGGCAUCUGUUGAGAAAGGACAUCAUUGUUCUUAUUCAGUCUCAGCCAUGAUGAGAAUUUCACCUUCCAGACCUGACUACACAACAGGCUAUUUUGGGGAGUCUCUUUACAUUGGCUGACUUUACAAGGCUUUAAAAAUAUAUAUAUAUUAAAUGUAGGCAAAAGGAGUACAUUCCAAAUAAUCAGGCGUGUAAAUGAAAACUCCUCAAAUCUUUGAAAAAUCUUCCUUAAUAUUAUAUAAUAAGAAAUACAUAACUGUGCCUAUUUUUACAGUAAUUUUCUUUCAUUUGAUGACAUUCAAUAGUAAGAUUUAUUAUUACCCGCAUGGAAAAUAUCCUGCCUGGGGGUGGUUGAAAUAGAUCUUGCAGACAAGUCAUCAAUCAGCUGGUGUUUAUCUCUUCAGAGAUCAGCGAUAUCAGUGGCAGGAACAAUUCCAACCAAUUCGAGAGUAUUUACCGAUAAUAAAAGGAAAUGUUCGUGUGGCUUUGUACUGCUUCUCUCGCCAGAGGUCACACAGCAUUUUUGCAGGAGGGCUGAUUUAUUGAGGCUCGUUUGAAGCUGAGGCAGGGAGAGCUCUGAGGUAUCCAGAGCCCUUGCCCUGACACCUCUGUGGCCAUUGCUCCCUCUCUGAGAGAAGGUCUAACUUCCCUGGCAGAGGGCUUUAAGAUAACACCAGUCCUCCCUGUCCCCACUGCUAAUGAGUUCAGCUAAAAGGAUUUAAGACUGAUGCAGACAAAAAGAUCUUUUACAUCAGCUGAAUUGCAUGCAAAAUGAUUCUUACACUUCUAAGGAGUGAAUUGUAGCUUCUAACUGAACUCUGCUAUAAUUCUAAAGCAGAAGGUCUUGUAUUUGUGUCCCUGAUAGAGAGGUUUUUCAAAAUUUUAUGACAACACUCAGAAUAUUUAUAGGUAUUGACUGCAGGGUUCAGGACAAAGAUCUGUUGUCCUUGAGGCAAAAUAACAGCCCUGACUUUACCUAGUAUUUGCCUCUUGGUGUAAUCAGUCUGGAACUAACACUGCAAUUGUUACCUAACCUGUGUAUGACACAAGGGUUUUGUUCCUCUCACCUUUGCUUUUUUUUCUUUGUAAAAUGCAGUAUUUAUACUUACUGAAACAAAGAGCACUUUGAAUCACAAGAUGAAGUGUAUGGUUUUUAAAAAGUUAUAAAAGGGUCUUUUUUUGUUGUUGUUGUUUAAUUUCUAUGGUUUUGUCUAAGGAAAUUUACUGGAACAUUCAUUUCUGUUUGAGAGGAAACUUGCUCUAUGUGGACAAUAAAGAUGUUAAGAUCAGGAUGAAUGUCUAUGGGAGAUAAUAAUAAUGAAUGAAAAAAUGCAUCAGUCCAGCACUCAUAUUUUCCAGGAACUGCAAGAACUCAGUUCUGGGUUGUGUUUUAAAUCUGAGCCCCAUUGUUGCUGACUGGGUUCCCAGUCUGUUGGAAAGGCUUCUCUUUGUUCCUCUGAGCUGCUCCAAUCCGAAGCAUUUGGACCAGUUCCAUAUUUUAAGUGAGAUUUUUAAGCUGAACAUGUAUUUUCAUUCUUCCAGCUUUAAAAUGUAGAGCAAAGCAUCUUUCCCCUGUUUCCUGCUGGCCAUGAGCAGGGCACAUUGACACUGGCAAAAGUAAUUUGACCUGGAUGAGCCUGCGAGGGGACAGCCAGCAGUUAUCAGUGGUACGUGAGCGGUGCCAGGAGCACGCUGCUCCCCCGGGCAGGAACAUGCCUUGUGAGGCAGCACUCCGGGCUUCACCCGGGCACGUGUGAGCUCUGUGCUCCGGCUGACGUGAUUUGUUCUCCCCACAGAUACAAGGUGGGUGAGAACAUGUUUUUCUCGCUGAUGCUGUGGCACUUGGUGGCAUUAAUCAAAUGCUUGUGGUGCCAGGGCCGGGGUUUAGUUGUGUCCUUUUGCAGGUGAAUGCCCCAGCCUGGUAGUACAGAGGUGGUUUUGUUCCUCUCUUUUCUUUCUCGGUUUUUAUGGGAUUUUUACACAAAUGGUACUUCAGCUGUGAAGCACUGAGGGUGACCUGCCCUUGGACACUCUGGCAUUUGACCUGGUUGUGUGCAGCAGCAGCCUGGGAAGCUCUUCCUGCUCACAGGCAGGAUUUGUUACUGGCUAAAGUUACUCUCCUUGUAAGAGAAGUUAUUUGGAAACGUGGCCUCUCACCCUUUUAACGCCCACCAGUUAAACUUCUUCUCUUUCAGAAUGCCCACAUAAGGUUUGCUGGCCCAGCCCAGCACCCACCUUGUGUCCCUGUGGCUGCGCUUGCUCUCCAGUGUCACAUCAUGUGUGAAACUCUCCUUCAUACCAACAACUCCGAGAGAGCUCUGCACUCCUGUGUCACACAGCAUUUGUAAUCCCGACCCUGCUAUUGACAGAUUGCCAGUCUGUGAGACGGCUGUGACAAUACAACCUGGCAAAAAUGAGCCUGCAAAAUCCUCAGGAGCUCGUAGCCAUGGGCAGACCUGGGGUCCCCAAGAGGUCGAUGUCAGCGUGAGGCUGAAGCCAUCCAGCAGGAUCGUGUUGGAGCUCGCACGGAGCAUGAACUCCUGAGAGGGGAUUGGCACUGGCUGGUGCUCAAGGGCAAUUGUUGGAGCAGCUUGUGAGCAGGCAGCUCGCCAGCGAGACAGGGCAUGGCUGUGGACAGCUCACAGAGCGUGUGUGUGCGCAGGGCAGGCAGGAUGCACAGCUGGGAAACGGGAAAGGGAUUUCUGUAAACUUCUGCUCCGAGGGGGAAGAGCAUAUUCAGGCGAUGCCAAUCCGUGGAGGAGUAAAGAAAUGAUUUCUGGCAGCUAAGACAGGUUUUGGGUCUGGCUAAAUCUGACAGAAUGCUGUGGGGGAGAACUGGAGAUGUCAUGGUUAAUGAGUAUGGAAAUUAUAUCAGUAGCUUGGCCAUCUAGGUUUUAAAUGUUGUCAAUCUAUAACAUGCAAUACUUCAGUGUAACAUUUUCUGGCUGCCUAGUUUAAGGCAUAAAGACAGGCAGCCUCUCAGUAAUGAGUCAGUAUCUAUAGAGAGCAAGCUGUUGAUAGCAAAGCAGAAAUCUUGGCUUCUCAUCUCAGCAAGUUUAAAUUAAUCAAAAAAGAUGGUGGGCAGGAAAAGAAGAGGGGUUGUUUUCUUUUGUUUUCACAUUUUUGACACACCUGACAAACUGAAUUCCCCAUGAUUUUUCUGCCUCCCUGCUCGGCCCACGGGAGCAUUAAUUCCUGUCUCCUCUCCGUGCACUCCAGCCCAUGAGCUGUGCAGUGACCCUCCUGCCCAGUUCCUCCUGGCAUCCUGGAGUGCACUUAGACUCUGCACCACGAAUGCUGAGGGAAGGCAAAACCUGUUUACUGUAAACACAUUCUCCCCAGCACUUCAGUCCAGCAAAGGAUAAUUACCGAAACUCUGGGACAAAGGUGUUGUGGAUCCUUUUACUGCUGGAUGGAAAGGAUCCUCGUCAAGUCUAAUGAGUCUGUGGCUCUUGCAGACAUCCAAGUGGGCCUUGCUGUCUCCAGAAGAGACAGAAAGUAACUCUGGGAAGGCAGAGUGUGGAAUCUGACACUACUGCGUAAUUGAGGAAAAAGAGCUAUAUGCAUUAUUUAUGAGCAGAAGGCUGGGCUCAAUGUUAACAAGUGAGAAGAAUGUGGCUUCAAAACACAGGCUUUCUGCUCUUCCCUGUAAGAAAGGCUUCUGAUUUAAAUUGCUUGUAUUUGAGAGCAGGAGGGGAGACAGGGUUGUUUUUAAUAGCGAGCCUCAUUCCGUGUGUGUGGAGCUGUACAAGAUUGAGGGAGAGGCAGGGAUUGCCCCGAGGAGAGCAGCCUCUGCUCACUCAGGCUGUGGCCAGGAUGUGUCAUACAUGCUGCCCUGUAACGAGCUAAUACCGAUCUGCUUCAGGCAAAAGAUUUCACUGCAAGACAGAACCAAGCAGAAUUGCUACUCUUUUGGCAUUUCCAUUGGACAGGGAGGAUUUAAAAAAGCUGAGGAAUUUUCUCUGAAUCGCUCUAUCCACCCCACGCCCUCCCUUUGCAACCACUGCCCAGUUUUGGGGUUGGAUGAGUUGAUUUUGUGGGUUUUAUCCUCUUAUGGGUCCCCCACCUGCAGGGUCUGCCCUCUUGGGUGUUGUGGUCGGAGCUGGAACUGGCAUGAGCCACCCAGCUCAGGCUGUCACAAAAUCUCAGUGUAAAGUUACACAAAUGUGCUGGGGCUUUUGAGUUUUAGCUUUUUUCUGAUUAUUUUCUAAAGAAACCAGGCCUGGCUGGCUAAUGAAGUUUUGCCCUUCAUGAUGACAACGUGUGAUUAUUAUCAGGAAAAGAUAUUAUGUUCCAAAGAGUACAGGAUGCUGAGCUGCCUUUUUUCUUAGGAAAACACAGCGUGGGCUGAGGCAGGGCAAGUCCCUCCCUGUGGAGAGAUCACCUUCAUAGCUGAGCAAAUUAUCACCUUCAUCACUGUCUGCAUGGCACUCACACCUAGAGGCAGGAGCAGGAGCUUGAACUCUUCCUGGACCUUUCUGCAGCUCAGCACAUCCAUUAAGGACCCCACCACAAAGAAGUAAAGGCUCUUCCCACUCCACCCAGCAGUACAUGACAUUUGCUGCAGAAGAUUUUCAGGGCUGCUACUGCAGCCCUGCUUAGGUUAGGAGUUCAUGCUUGGCAUGUUUGUGCUGCAAAUCUGGUACCCAGCACUGCUCCAUCAGCUUGUAUUUGCGUUCCAUGCUUUUAUUUUCUACAGGUCCCAAAAGGUAAGAGAAUCUUCCAUUUUCUUCCCUUUUUAAAGGUCAGCAGUUUCUCCCAUCCCCAUUUCUGCAUUACAGCCAAUGUCCUUUCCAUGGUAUAAAAUCCUGACUCCUUCCUGCUGUGAUCCCCAGCAGCCAGGACUUUAUUUCUGUGAGGAAAAUUAGCUCAGUGGGAUAAGAUGAGAAUAACUAGGCCUCUGUAAAAGUCAGGAAGCAAGAAGUGAACAGCAUUGCACUGGAACUGAUGGGGGAGAAGCACUCUGUUCCUUGAUUUCUAACACUGGCUCAUUGAUUCUCCUCUUGGUUCAAUCAGCAGUUACUGCUUCUCCUUAAUCCAGGUUCAUAAUUUCUUAGUGGAGCGGGUUCUUAACAGAAAUACCCCUGAGAAAUCGUAACAACAGGCUGGAGGAGAAGCUGAAGAACACUGGGAUCUUGCCUGCAUCCCAGAAGGAUGUAUUGGAGCAGGGAAUUGCUGUUUCCAGUGGGGUUCCCUGUUUGCAGCCAGGUUUGUGGCUGUACAGCUUUGUUUGGUGUCCAGAGGGGCCAGCAGACCUUGACCUGGCUGCUGAAAACGAGUAGCACCUUUUUCUAAGGAGUACUGCUAAGUUUUCCCUGUCCCCAGGCUUCUCAUAGCAAAGUAGGUAAGGGCAGGAAGGACUAAUGAAUAAAGAUGAUUUUUGUAAAGGUGGGAUUGGAACAGGAGAGGCUGGAGGUGAGGCACAGCGAUGGGGGAGGAGGGAGGCAGCCCGUGUGGGGACUAGUGAGUCAUGCAUCCUCCAGCAAGCACUGACUCACUGGGAAGAUGAUCGCUCUGCUGUUCCCUUUCUGCUAAGGCUGAGGAAUAGUCAGUCGGCACAACUUUAUUCUGCAAGCUGGAGAGUGAGGUGUAGAAGAGAGGGAGCUGGAGACCGUGAAGCGCUGAAGGGGGAGGCAGGGUGAGCCCUGGGGCACAGCCUGCAGCUGGUGCUGCUGCUGAGGCUCCCUGCAGAGCUGAGGGGAGAAUUCCCCAUGCCUGGGCUGCCUGUGGAGCAGAGGCUCAGCUCCCACAGCCGGGCUGGGCUCUGGAGUCUGCAGGUGCCGUUUGUGUUCUCUUUGCUGCAGGGUCAAGGCUCAGGUGCUGCCAGCACUGCUGCUCCCAACGAGGCACACACGAACUCCUUGGAGCCAGGCUUGGAGUGUGCCAGCUGGGACAGGUGUCACCUGGCAGAGAUGUCACAUGGGAGAGGUGUCACCUGGCAGAAAUGUCACUUGGGAGAGUUGUCACCCUGCUCCCCUGUGGCCAGUUAGGUACAAUCAGUGGGGAUGCAGUUCCAACAUUUGUUAUCUCCUGCCCAGCUCAUUAUAUUUGACAGAUGAGGAGAGCCACCACUGAAUCUGUAUUAUCUGCAGAUUUCUAAAAGGAAAUACAUCUUUUUACCCAUUGUGGACACAGGAGAGUGAUUCUGCAAGGCAGAGGCCUAUGUGGUUUCUUCCUCUCUGAGAAAAAGAGGAAAGAAAAUAUGUAAGAAGCCUCCAAAAUUACCCCAAAAGCCGAUUCUCACUCAGAUUGUUGCAGCUUUCGUAUGAGUGAAGUGCAGAGAGCCCUGAUCCCCAGUCCUGGUGCUGUCAGGAUUUUUGGAGCAGUGAAAGGCUCCAAGUGUGUCUGUGCAGUCAGCAUUGAGGGCAGGGGCUGGAACUGCCCAGCACAGCCAAUGCCCAGACCUGGGAUCAGAAACUGGGAGAGCAGUUACAAGUCAGAGCUGCAAUUUUCUUCUGCUUUACAAGUUUCAUGUUGGUAAUGUGAAGUAAUUAAUGAACCAGAGCAGUGCUGCAGAGGGGGAAUAAUUUUAAUGCUCCUUUUAAAGAGGCUACUAAAUCAAUGGGGCAGUUUAAAAAGGAAUGAUAGCCUGGAGAUUAGGAGACUUAAUGGUAGAAAUUAGGCAGGGUUUUGAGAGUGAUGGAAUCUCAAGCAGGCAGGUACUUCAUGAACUGCAGCGUGGGCAUUUGCAUGUUCAGCACACACUGGCAAAGGCAGGACUCACUGAGCUUUAGGCCUGACUGGUCAGACUGGGCAGCCAUGCUCACAUGUGAAGGUCCCCAGCACUUGGAAAAGACACUGAGAGACUGUAAAGCACAAGCUACACUCCUGCUUCCUACUGUGCAGGAGCAGUAUUUUUCCACUCCUGUCACAGGUCUUCUGACUACCAGGCUCAUAAGCGAUGUCUACAUGGGCUUUUGUAGGCAGAUACGAGCUUACUCUGGCUGCUGGCCAAGAGAACCAGAAGCCAUGGAGCUGCAGCUAAUGUGCUAUAUGCCCAAAUUACUGUGGCCUGCUGAGAAGCAGGAUAUUAGCUUGAGCUCAGAGCUCUGGCCAGCUCAGACCAUAAGUGAAAUAAGUUUUCCUCUGUGUGCAGAAAGGCAUGGAGACAAGGAUAGACAACUUGUGUAGGAUUCAGAAAGCCAUUUUUAUAUGGGCUGGAGCAGGUUAGCUGAGCCCAGGAAGAUCAGGCAGACACAGCUCCCUGUGCACCCUGCCCCAAGCACAGAAAGCAACACCACAUGGUUGGCCUCAGAGCCAGCCAGAUCCUCCUGGCCAAGGAAAACUGCUUUGGGAGCUGCAUCCAAAUUCUGUGGGCCUCCAGUUGGCUCUCCCUGUCGUAGGCAUACCCAGCGUUUCUCUUCUGUUUUGGAUGGCAGGGGCUCGCUGUGGACAGGGAGGGUUUGAAUUCCGUCCUCACUGGCUCUGUGAGUUUCUGCAGGAAAAUGUUUGUACAAUGUGACACCUGAUGGGCCAAGUUGAAUUCUGAGUUGUGAAGGUGGACAGGCACCUACAUGUGUUCAAUUUGGACUAAGAUGAAAGGCUGUCUCCAUUUUAAAUGCAUAUAUUAGCUAGUUGGAUUAGCAGAUAUUUAUUCCUAAAAUCUUUUACUUUCUCAAUUAUAGAGACUGCUUUGCAUGAGAAAUUUCACCAUGUAUUACUGUUUAAUGUUAAUGGAGGAGGAACUGUGUGUGUGGCUACAUGUAUGUGCAUAUGUACACACACAGUGUACAAGAAAACAGGGAUGUUUAUAUGUAAAUACACAUCCAGAAUACAGUCUUGGUUAUCUUAAAAUAAUACAUAAAGAUAUUAAGGAUUAACAGCAAAAACCUGUGUGCUAGGCAGUGUCAUGGUGCAGUGAAGCAUUUUACAAGCAUGAAUUCAAGCAACUGUCUCAGUUACUGAGGAUAGAACCAUAAUUUGAGCAGGAAUAAGCUUUAAUUAAAACAGACCCAUCAGGUGAAAUCCUGGCCCUAUCACGGUCAAUGGCACAACUCUGACUGAUCCUUCAUGGAAUCAGGAUUUUGCUCAGAUCUUGUGACAUUUGCCUUUUCUGAAUCUGAGGCAUUAGUCUUCGAACAGAAUAUAUAAGCUAAAAAUGGAAAGCUGCCUGACCUAAAAUAGUUUGACAUCCAUAUCAUAGUGCUUAUUGUCUGAGAGUACAUCUAAAUGACAUGUUGAUUAAUCCCGAAGUGAGGAAAAUGCGAUUCGUUGGAAAGAACUGGGAUUGUACCAAUAAUUCAGUACCAGAAGCUACACAGCCAUCAACUCAGUGUGCAACGUUUCCAGGAAAACUUUAUUUGCAAGCUGUCAGAUUCAUCUGCCAUUUUCCCAGUGACUUUGGUUCCCUUCUGAGUGGCCCAGAUGAAAUGCUCCAAUCCAGUUCGUGUGGGCUAUCAGCUACUUUGCAAAAGCAACUUUCCCCCUGCCUUUACUGAAAACAAAACAGUCACAUCAAGUCAGGUUGCUGUGAGUGGCUCUUAAGAGAGAUGUCGGCUGCACUUAGUGCACAGCUGGGGCCAAAGUGAAGCUGUGUAAGUGCCUGAGCUGUUCAGCUGGAAAUUACAUCUUGUGCAGGAACCUAAAUGUCAAGUUCCCCAGUCCCCCUCACAGCCAGAACUCCAGCACCUCCCCUUUUCCCAUGACUUUCUUCCCUUUCCUACAGAUGUAGCUGUGUUUUCCUUCAGACACAAUAAAUCUUAUAUGGGAACGCCACAAUGUAAAGCAAAGCGAGCUGUCACCCAGGACUUCAGAUGACACUUAGCCACAUUAACGAGUAAACAGAGCCCACAGGAAAGAUGCCUUUUGAAAUGCACUGUUUGUGUCAGCAGUGCUAAAACUAACGAACCAAAACAAUGAGGGGAAAAAGGGGAAUCAUCAGAUGCAUCUAAAGCUAUAGGCUUUAAAGUCAGAUCGGCUGAGAGCUGCUCAAAUACAAGCAAAUCAUUGGGACAGUGCACAAAUGAUGAUUUCCAUAAGCAGUAAGACAGCGAAUACUCCCAGCCUUGUGAUGGGAGGAAAGCACUAAAAGAAAGGCUAAAUGUAACCAUGUGAAAAGAAGGGAGCAGGAAUGAAUGUGCUUCUUAUUUUGGAACCUUCUCAUGGCAAACAAGCAAGGCUGGAGCCAAAAUCUCCAGGACACAGAAGGAAGUUGGAACUGUUACCCCAGCGCAUGGCUCACGAGAGAGCUGGCACGGAGAGAGGGAUCAGCUCUGCAUUGUUCAGAAGGAGCCUCACAGAGCAUGCAGCAUAACAUGCAUCCCCAGGGCCUUUGGAGGCAACCACUAUCAACAGCCAGUGGAAUCAGUCCAAAGUCAGAGAAAUGUUACUAAAUGAUAAUUUCACUCUUGAUGAUGGAGAAGGAACACUGUGCACCAGAAGAAAAGAAAUAAACUGAUGGCAGGGUAUAGAAAUGGUGCUGUGGAAAUGGCUUUGCUUUGCUUGCUGGAGGUAUUUACUCUUCCAUUGAACCAGUUUUUAAACAAUAAUCCUCUGAAGGAACCUUUCAGUUCACUGACAUGGUGAGAGGAAACCAGUAUUAGCUACAGUGCUUACAUUCGUGGUUGCUUCAUGUUGAUACAAACAAAAGUGCGGGUCUGGAAUUGACAAUAGCGGUGGUUUAGGUUUUCUUCUUUCAGUGAUCCCCAAAUUAUGCCUGCCUGAAUAAUUUGGUACUAGAGGCAGAAUAAACAUCAACUCUUAAUAGCUGAAUUUUUAAGGUUAAAACUGAGGCUAAGUACAUAACAUUUAUCUUCUGAAGAAAGCAUGCGUACCCUGGUUAAAGGGGAAGAUGAAAACCAUGUUUAUGAGAGCAAUGGCUGAUGGCUUAGUUCUGCGUGAUAAAAUAAAUAACUUCGAUUAACUUCAAGCUCCAGUACCUCAGAUGUUUGUUGUCACAGAGGAGCAGCUUGGCUGAUUGGCAGCUCUGAUUUAGUCGACAUGUGUUAACAGAAAUUGCUCAAUUUACAUGGAGUACUUCAAUCUGCUGUUUUAGGAGUUUUUGUCUUACAUAGACUGGCAUUUCAGCUUUUGAAUAGAUGGAGGACUUGUAAGGGUCAUUAAAGAAAUUGCUAAAGCUUCUGCAAAUGCUUGGGCCAGAUUGCUGACUGAGAUGCAGAGCAUGCACGUGUCACUGCAGAUACUUCCCAGAUAAUGGUGCUGAUUGAGAUUUUAAUCUGGACAGAGUGCUGGAGGCAACUUUCUUUCCAACACUCAAUUAUCCUGAUAAUAAUAUGCUUAUUUUUUUCCUGUGUUCAAAAUGUGUGGUCUGCUGCAACUGUGCAGUGUGAGUACAGUGCUGUACGGAGGGGGAAAAAUCAGGGAGCAAAAGUGACUCCACGGCAAAGGGCACUGACAGCACAGUCCCAGAGUGUGCAGGGCGAUGUAUUUUUACCUUGAAUGAGCUGAGUGACCACCAUGAGAAAGGGCUGCAUUCCUUCCCACAGGCUGCAAGACAACUCCUUGGUUCUCAACAGCCACAGAGGAAUAAAUCUGGAGCACAGCCUGCAGCCAGGACCACUUAGCGUGUUGUAGGGGCAAGACUAUCAUUUUACUGUGCAUUUGCAUCUUGUAUCCUCCCUGGUGGGAUGCUGAUCCAUAACAGUCUUCUAAAAUCUCACACAACACAAAGAAUCCAGACUAGUUUCCCACGGACACUCUCCAUGAAAGAAUUUCUUAGAAGAGAUAACUCAGCCAGGAAAUGGGAACUAGGGGGCCACAUUCCUUCAUUCAAUUCCAUCUCCCUUUGGUAAAGGAUUUAAAAAAUUGUCCCUAUAUGACUAAUCCCAACUAUAUUUCCCUAAUUUCUAGGGAAGCAACAGUUUCUAGAAAUGAAGAGUAAAGCCAUUUGAGGAAAUGAAGCUUUAUUUGCUUUUUAGUAAUUAGAGGAUUUUCUGCUAGAUCAAAUUACUAAUAACAUUUUGGUUAUUAAAAUGUAUGAAACUUAGAUUUACUUUUCGGCCUCUGUAUCAUCUUCUGAUCCUUAAUACUUUUCAUCACACUGAAGGAAUGAAAACAAACUCAGCUGUUUUGUGUUUGUACACAGUUGACUUUUACCAGGGCUGUGUUAGUAUUGUUACAGACUCGUUAUAAGUGGUGGCAGAGCACAAACUUCUGAGGCAACACGGAAUAUUCACCCUCGCUUUCAGUAGGUUACAACCCAAAACGAGUGCCACAAACCUGCCAGGAGAGCCAGAGAAGGUUCUGCUGCUUCCCCAGCUCCCUCUGUCCCUCUCUGAUUGCUGUCCGCAAGGAUAGCUGUGAAUUUGACUCACUUGCUUUAUGUGUCCACUUGUAUUUGUUGUUUGAAGUGAAUGCACACGCCCUAAAGCAAGGAACAUAAGAUUUUUGGCUUUUUAUGAUCAGUUGAAAGUUUUUCCAUAUAUGAUACAUUCAUCUGUAUUGAAUUUAGUUAAGUUAAAGCGCUGGGUACACACUCUUAUUGUGGACUGGGAGUGAUUUGGGUCAAUUUGCUUUAAAUCCAUCCCUGGCUGACUUGCACUGACCUGAGCUGAGCUACACCUGAUUUAUGCUCUCAGUUACCGCAUUUUGACCAAGAGCUCGGGGAUGCUGUUGGCUGCCAGCACCGUCAGGAGUCCCCGCACAGCAGCGGCUGCCGGGAAUCGCAGCAUUCCCGCAGCAAACGGGAGCUCCUCGUGUCGGGGGACCUCAGGCCAAGAAAAAGAGAAGUCUGAGCGGGUUUCUCCCAUCCCCAUCGCCGCGGGCUAAGAGCAAACACACACGGUCAAUUAGCGAGGCUCAGCUGAUGCGCGGUGAGUUGUCAGGAUCCGAAUGAGAUCGCUCAUUCGUGGAUGCGGCCCCUGAAAUGUCCUUUUAAACUGCUGGUUUAUAGACAAGUGUGGCUGUGGCUGUGGCUGUGGCCAGGCAGACAAAUCAGCGCGGGGAUAAGGAGCCUUUGGGUGCCAGUGGUGCCAUCUGUGUACCUGCCGGGUGAGCAGGGGAGCCUCCCCUGCCCUCCCCUCCCCUGCCCUCUCCUCCCCUCCCAUCCCCUCCCCAGGGGGAAGGUAUGCCUCAGGCAUGGCAAAUCCAGAGCCUGGACGGGUUUAACCUAGUUUAGAACAGUUCGGCUUGGUUUAAGUGGAAUAAAACAGAUUUAAGCCGCUUUUACACCAGUUAAACUGUACUUACUGUGUAUUUUACUCAUUUGCUCAAAUGGUGCAAAGAUCAGAUCUUUGAGUCAAAAAGAGACUUUCCAUUGACCUAGAGCAGUGUUUUAUGGAGAAGUUUGAAGGCCUUUCAUUCUAAAGAUGGGCUUGCAUCUUAACAAACAAACCACAAGACAACAAAGAUAAACCCCACAAUCCCAAACUUCCAGCUUUCCUCCCAAAUAAUAUUCUUUUUCUUACUCUGCCCUGUGGGAGAGGGUCAGGUUUUCUAAGAAAAAAUUUGCUUCUUUCCAGCAAGGAACCAACAGAAUUUGCUAAAUUAAAAUUAAAGUUUCAAAAGCUCCAAACACAGUAUGGGCUUGGACCCUUUGAAACUGUGACUGAGACCAAUGAAUCGCAGGAUCAAACACCAAAACUUUGGGUUGCUUUUCUUUUUAACUCAAAAACUUGCAUUCAAUCUCAGUUCAUCUUUACUUUCAUGUAAUGAAAGGGAAGACAUUUGAUUAGGUUAUGUGAGAUCACGUGGAUGGAUUCAACACAUGGCUGCAGGACCAGGCAUUAUUAUCUUGGACACAUUUUGAACAGUGCUUCUCACUCUGCUAUCAGCCACCGCCACCUCUGCAGUAAUGUGACAGCAAGAGAAAAAGGAUGGGAAGGCGAUAAAGUUUGCCCACGCAAGGAGAAAAGAACUUUCUGUCCAAAGCCAGCUGGCUUGGCUUGGGAAUGAAAUGGCAUUUUAGUGAGAGGUGACCUGUUUCCAUGAGCUUUGUCUCAGAACACUUGUCCUCGGUGUUGCAAUGGAGUCUGAGAUGCAGUUUAUCACCAAAUACACACAGAAAACAGGUGAGCUGUCUCCGUGCCAGUUUGUCUUCUAAACUGUUUGACAGAUAAGAAACCAUCCUCAGAGAUUGCAACAAAUGUGCUGCCGCAUUUCAUGGUAAGAACCGAGCAUAUUUUUAGUAAAGGGUUGAGAAAGUAUGCAAUAAUCCUAAAUCACAGCCAAGAAAACCACAAACCCCGUAACAAACGCCUGUUCGGAUUCAGAGCUCAGAAACGUGCACCAGUUGAUCCACGUUAACGCUCCAGGGAAAAUUUUAAGCUUAUUUUUCCAAACUCCAAGAGAGAGUCUGUGACUUUUUUACCUCUACCUGGAAGGGCCAGGGGGAGCAGGGAAGCUGCUGGGUGUUCUUUAUCCUGUGGGACACAGACCAACCAUCCUACAUGUGCUCCCAAAGAAAUCAAUGGGAUGUGCACCAAUGAAAUAUUUGUACUGAGGAGUCUGUUCACCGUCAUAAAACCCCAAAAUGUACCUUGUAAACUGUCCAAAUUUAAAAAUUAAACUUUAUUCCAAAAGUUAACUGCUUUAGAAGUUUCUUUGUUGUGCCUUGUACACUCUAACAGAUCCUGCAGAGCCACACUGGGCUCUGGAUAUGAAGGUUACCAGAUCAGAUAAAAAAUGUAUUUUAUCCUUUUUUUAUUGCAGUUUGGCCAGUGAGUUUAAAGUGAAGCAGACAAAAUGCAGGAAAAAUAAGACUUAAAUUUGCAUUUUAGAGCAGCUUUAGCUGAUUACAGAGAGAGCUGAGUGUGCUCUGCACAAGUCAGGAGAAACUUAUCUGGCUUUUAAGAGUUCCACAAGUCUUUUGUCACUUGAAGAGGCCCCAUCAGCUUCAAAUCUACUUUUAAAAAGUAGUUCAAAAACGUUUCAGGUAUUAUGGUCUCCUAUAUCUAUUUCUGUCCCUUUUGUUUCCUAACAGCAUGAGAUACUGACCACACAUACUGCUGUCAAAUAUAGAAAUUAAACUUACAGAAAAAAGGAACCAUUUUCUCUUUAAUCUCUUGGAAAAUUUUCCAGACUAAAGCAUAGCUCUUAAAUGGAUAAUAUCCCUUUAAGAAUUUAUUUGCCAGGUAAUGUUAGAAGAAAAAAGACUUUAAGGUCAGUUUGAACAUUUAAAAGAUCCCCUUUAAAAUAAAUUUCAAAUCUAUAUUGCAGAUAAUGGCAAGCAGUAUUUGAACAGCUCUCUAAAUUAUAAAAUAUAUUCUACACCUUAAAAAUGCAAAUAGCUUUAAAAUCCUUUUAAGUGAUUUCCAGCUCCUUGGAAAAAGGUCAAGAUUUAUCCUAAGAAAUACUUUGUUGCAUAAAAAUAAUACAAAUAGUUUAGUGUUGCAAUAUAUACCAGUCAUAAUAUGUAUAAAGCAACAAAAUUAUUAACAGAUGAGGGCCUGUAAGUUUUGAAUAAUGCAGUAAAUAUGAUUAUUUUUGAGGGGUGAAAUAACACAAUGCUGUCAGAAAAGAAAAUUACAUUUUAAUAAUGAAAAUAUUGAACACAACUAUUUUUCUUUAGAUCUGCUAAGCAAUCUGUGUGUUCCCUAUGAGAUGUCAAACUACAGAGUGCAUAUGAAGGCUUUGCUCCCUCUAUAAAUAUACAUGUGCACGACACAUUGCUAACAGCAGCAAGCGAGUGCUGGGGAAAUACAGCAACAAUGAAGUUCCUGAGAGAGGCUUAUUUUUUCAAGUUAUUAAAAGAAGGUGGCAAGCGUUCAUGAGGAUAUGAAAAUUUAAAGCCGUCUGCAGGAAACUCUGAAAACCUCUGGUUAAGGCUGCUGCCAAAAAAUCUCAGCUAUGUUAUGUCAGAAUGUUUAAUUGCAAGCUGCAACUUUAAUGAAUGGAAAGAUAUGGCAAAAGCAGGAAGUUUCUGAAGCAACAUGGAGCAACCAUGAAAAUAAAAUACCAAAGGUUGUAAUCUUGAGUGCAGUUGGAAGCAGGAAUUUCCAUCCACGCUCUGCCUCCUUUCCCUGCUGUGCAGGGGCUGCCAGCUGAGGGGAGAGGUAAAAGGCUCUGGAUAUCAUCUCCUGGGCUCAAGGCAGCACUUGUUGUGUCCAUGUGAACAAGUCAACUUCUUUGCAUCUGUCAUUAGGGGUGUUUACAGGAGUGCAGCUUAGGAAUGAGGGGAGGAAAGGCAAAUGUCAGAGUGCAUUAAAUAACGUAUUUUCUUUACUUUCCAAGAAGCUUGCUCGCAGCAUGGUGUUGCUAUUUAUAUCCCAUCUCCUAAACCCAGCUGUUGGUUCAUGUUAACAUGCAGAAUGGUGAGAAAAUCCCAGCAGAAGAGCGUGAAUCCCAGAGAGACUUGUGGGGACCUAUAAAAUAUCACAAAUUUUGCUGAGGUCCGGGCCAGGCAUGCCCUUGGUGAGGCAACACCAGCAUUUCCCCUGCUGAUCCUCCAGUGUUAGAACACCAAGAGCAAAGCAAAAUGUAAAGUUCCAAGUGCUGCAGCAGAAAACUUCAGGGAACUGGGCUCACACCCCUGGCUGGAAGAAUUUGAAAGAGUAUCUUUACCUGUAACUCAAAACUAGCAAAUACACUGUACACCCACAUAACAGCAUUCUUAGACAAGCUGUGUCUGAUCUAAUCUUAUGUACCUUGGCCACAAGUUUUGGAAAAACAAAUAUUCCCAAGGCAAUCAGAUUAGUGAGUAUACCAUAUAAUGAUGUGGAAAUACUGGUGGUUUAUAGAGAGCAGUUUAUGGGAUGGAUUGAGUGAAUUUAAUUCAUGCAUUGUCAGGUAACUUGGACUUCAGUAAAAUAAGGAAAUCUUGAUUUUUAUCUGCGUGUAGUGGAACAUCAGGGCCAAAGAGUGUAAGAGCAGCACUCCUGAGCACAGACAGGGAGCUCAGGGGGGUUUGUUCCCAGCCAGCUCUGGAGAGGACAGGCAGUGCUUGUGCUGAGGUGACCACGGGGUUAACAGGGUUACCCAAAGCCUUAAUGGCCAGCAGCCAUUAUCUGCUCCUCUCUGAUUUCCUGCUCCCUAGGUGGGAGUCUCCCCCUGCCCCUCUCCUUUGUUUCUGAUGUGAGUUCCCAUCCUGAAAUGCUGCGAGUACAAUUCGGUUUUGUUGCAAUCAGUAGUCCUUUACAAAAUCCUCAUUCACAGAGUGUUUCCCCCAUUGUAAGUGGAACAAUGUUAGGAAUUAAUCUGGCUUGUGAUUUGUAGGAACCUUGUUCUGAAAACCUUGUUCUUAGACCCCCCCUCCCUUUGAAGGGUAACUUAAUUGUUUGGCAAACAUGCAAAACCUACAUAACAUCCCCUACUCCUCUCAGCUAUGAUUUUAAAAGUCCUGCAUUUUGGUUUUAUGUAACGUUCACCUCUAGAAGCAUGGGGCUCAGAUUCUCUUCUCCAAGACACAAGAGUAAAAAGCUGAUUUCUGGAAUAUGAGGAGGAUUUGAAAGGAGGAAAAGCCAUGGUACAUCUCUGGAAUGGAUGGUAAGAAGGUCCUAAAAUGUAAGUUGAAAGUUAGUAGAGAUCUGAUUUUGGUGAUAGUGCCUCCAAAAUACCUUGAAUGGGUGGGUGGAAAUGCACUGGAAUAGAGAUGCAAGGGAAAGCUUUAUUGCCAUAACAACUGCUGGAUGAUGACUCUACACAACUCUGAGGCUAUCUAGUUAAAAUUAAGAAUGCUGCUAUCUUUUCUCCUUAUCUUUCUUUAUAUUUGCUAUUGCUCUGAGUUUAUUUCUCUUUGGAUAUCAUGGAAAUUGCAGUGCCUGCUAUUUGGCCAAGGGAAGAGAUUUCAGGGGGCUCUUUUUAUUCUCUGGGUUGUACAUAAGAUGGGCAGAAAUGCAGUCAGUGGUUGUUCCCUUUUCUCACAGAAGUGAUCCUGGCAGAUGCUUGUGGUAAUUUUUCCCUCAUCAUAUUGACACUCCAGUGUGAUGUUCUCUGGGGCUUUCUUAUGUUGCUGCUCCUAGAGUCUUACAAAGACUGACAUUUUUUCUCUGCUGUGUACAUUUUUCUUUAUUAUUUACAGUUUUGCACCUUCUGUAUUAUCCAGGAGAAUUUGGCCUUUGCAGUUGUCCUGGAAAUUAAACCCAAUGCAGCACCAUCAGAUCCACAAGAAGAAGUGCCUGUUCUUGCAUUUCUGUUUUGAACAAAAGGUGGAUGUUUCAGAAGCUGUUCAAUUUAUUCACUAGCUGCACUUUAAAAUCCAAACUAAUCUGUACAUUACAAACCCUGAACUCCAACAUAUCUGAGAGCUGUGAAUUACUAUUUCCACUUGUGGUAAACUUCUGGAAAUAGACAACAGAAAUUUGCAUUUACUUUUUGGGAAUGAUCGUGGAGGAUCCACCUUUUCCCAUCCCAUGGUGUGGUCAGCACCCUGCCAGAUGGGAGUUUCUGUCAUCAUUUCUGCCACCCUAUUCCCUAACCCUCUGUGGAGCUACCUUUUUGUGUUCAGAUGAUGAUAUAAUUUUCAAAUACAAAGAACACCCUCUGCUCUCUGUUUUUCAGAGCCAGCACCUUUGGUUCUGGUGCCCUGAUUAGAGAUGUGCCCUUUGCAGUGAUUUGGAGCUGUGAAAUGGCUCCUGUCGCUCCACUCUGAGCCUGUGGGUAUCUCACAGGAUAAAUCUGGAAGAGCUGUAGAGCGCAGAUGAUUUUUGGCAAGUAUCAUUUUAUCAUCAAAAUUUUAUUUUUGGGUCGCUCUUCAGCUGCCGCCUUCUGUGAAGGAGAAGGACGCCCAUUUGAUGGCUUUUAUGAUGUAUUCCCGAGUAGUCUCUUCUGCUUAGAGCAGAAUUAAUGGGAGCCCUGGCAGAGACAAUGUGAGCUGGGGAUGGAAGCAUCAGUGGAGCUGAGGUGGACUCUCACCUUUGUCUGAACCUGGAGGCACAGCUCACGUCCUCAGAGCUGGGAGAUUCACAGAAAGCCAGGCAGAAAAAUAGGAAUUUUUAAAUCUAUAUCUGUACAGUAGAUAGUCACUAUACAUACAAUUCGAUAUAUUGUAUAUAAUUAAUACUUAGGGUAGAAUUAAUAUAGUGUAUAUGCACUGUAUACCAUACAUGUAUUUAUAGUGCAUAUUAUAUAUAGUAUAUAUACUUUAUUAUAUAUUUAUAUAUUUAGUAGUAAUGACUUUAUAUUAAUAGUUUUGCUUUUACAACCUUGUCCUUGCUCAGUUUUACCAGUGGCUAUUUCUCUCAAUUAUUUGUCUGUACACAUAAUACAUAUAUUUUAUAUAUUGCAUAUAUAUAAAAUACUAGAUAUUAGUAUAUAUACUAUAUAUACUAAUAUACUAGACACGCUGUGUUUAUAGAUACACUAUAAAUAAAAAUAUAUCUACAGAA